CAAAAACAAAACAAAACAGGACUUCCUGGGGUGAGUUUUUAAACAUGAAGACUCCUCCAAAACAAAGGCUGCCCCAUCCACAGUUAGCAGGGAGUACUGAAAGCUACGGGUAGUGAGUUCAGUUAUUUUCCCAAUCUAUGCAAACUACCAUUGCAGCACUCUUUGGACAAAAAGUCUUGAAGGUCCACUGGGGAAAAAAAGAACAAGUCAUGUUCUCAACUGAAGAUUCUUCUCGUUGUAUGCUCCAUAACGUACAGAGGGCCUGUUUCUCUGACAACUUACUAUGGCUCAGAUGAUGUUAUAAAAUGAAUGUCAACCCCACAGAAGUCAAAUCUGUUCUGAAGAGUUUGCUAUCUAUCUAUAUGCAAGACAGGGAAAAGAAACUGAAUUAUACAAAUCCAUCUCUUGUACAGCAGGAAGAAAUCUCAGCUUCCCUAUACAUCCUGAUUAUUAUUGGGUUUUUUGGCUUUCUCCUUUUCUCUAUGAUGCUCAGCAAUAUUGUUCUCAGGCAGCGGGAAAACUACAUGGACUAUCUCUUUCAAAAUAAAUUUCCAGGAAAGAGGAGAAUGACUUCCUGCAACAGUAUAAUGGUUAAUGUUGGAAAGGGUGUUACAACAGAAGCUAACACAGAUUGCCAAUGCCAAAAGACUGACAGUUGCCCAAUGGCAGAAAUUCCAAGCAUGGAAUUAGUGCAGAAAAAUGUAUGAAGGUGCAGUAUCAUGACCUAUUUUUAACUGGUGGAUGAUUUUGAAGUAUUAGAUCUGAUUGCACUAACUCGGGCCAUUCCUGGCAAUCCUCAUUUGGAGCAACCUUCCUAUCUACAGUGCAAGAAAAAACUUGUUUAUUUCUAAACUGCAUUAUAGUUUUCCUAUUUUACACUCCAUUAAGUUUCCACUAAUAGUUUAGUAAUCAAGUUCAAACUUGUAUGAUUUCUUAAUAUUCAUGCUUAUAUGCACUUUUGUGAUGUGUCUUACAUGGACUAAGUAAGCCAUCUUCCUUCUUUUUCUUAAUUGUGUGUUUUGUGAAGACUUUGGUUCUUGUAACUGUGUUAUGUUGUGGAGACCUCCUCACAAUCUAAAAGAAAUAUAUAAAAGAUGAAAGAGUCAAA